rnacentral:rRNA from 1 species
UGUGAAGGAAAGGUGAAAAGAACCCCGGGAGGGGAGUGAAAAAGAACCUGAAACCCUGUGCUUACAAGCAGAGAGAGCACAAUUAAGUGUGAUCUCGUACUUUUUGUAGAACGGACCGGCGAGUUACGUUAUGCAGCGAGGUUAAGAACUGAAGGUUUGGAGCCGAAGCGAAAGCGAGUCUGAAUAGGGCGAAAAGUUGCAUGACGUAGACCCGAAACCGGGUGACCUAUCCAUGGGCAGGUUGAAGUGGAAGUAAAAUUUCAUGGAGGACCGAACCAGACGUCUGUUGAAAAAGGCGGGGAUGACCUGUGGAUAGCGGAGAAAUUCCAAUCGAACCCGGAGAUAGCUGGUUCUCCUCGAAAUAGCUUUAGGGCUAGCCUCGCAUUAGUUUACCGGAGGUAGAGCACUGAAUGGUCUAGGGGGCCUCACCGCCUACCGAAACCUAUCAAACUGCGAAUGCCGGAUAAAUGAUGUGCGGGAGUCAGGCCGCGAGAGAUAAGUUCCGCGGGCAAAAGGGGAACACCCCAGAUCGUCUGCUAAGGUCCCCAAGUACGCGUUAAGUGGGAAAGGAUGUUGGAUUGCACAGACAACCAGGAUGUUGGCUUAGAAGCAGCCACACAUUCAAAGAGUGCGUAAUAGCUCACUGGUCGAGUGAUCCAGCGCCGAAAAUGUAACGGGGCUAAAACGCGACACCGAAGCAGCGGGAUGCGUAAGCAUCGGUAGAGGAGCAUUGUGUGAGGGUUGAAGCCAGAGCGGGAGCACUGGUGGACUUCACAGAAGAGAGAAUGCCGGUAUGAGUAGCGAGACCCAUGCGAGAAACAUGGGCGUCGAAGGCCCAAGGUUUCCUGGGGAAGGUUCAUCCACCCAGGGUAAGUCGGGACCUAAGCCGAGGACUGAGGUCGUAGGCGAUGGACAGCAGGUAGAGAUUCCUGCACCACUUACACUUGUUUGACGAAGCAGUGACACAGAAGGAUAGGACGAGCGCGGUGAUGGUCAACCGCGUAGGCGGCACGAGGCUGGGGAGCAGUAAAGUACACUUCCCGGGAAGGCUGAGUGCUGACAGGACCGAAAAAGAGUAGGGAAGCGUCUGAGUUCACGCUGGCGAGAAAAGCUGCUAAGGAGAGUGUGAGUGCCCGUACCGGAAACCGACGCAGGUGGGCGAGGAGAGAAUCCUGAGACGGACGGGAGAACUCUUGUUAAGGAACUCGGCAAAAUGACCCCGUAACUUCGGGAGAAGGGGUGCCUCGAAAGAGGCCGCAGAGAAUAGUCACAAGCGACUGUUUAGCAAAAACACAGGUAUCUGCGAAAGCGAGAGCUGACGUAUAGGUGCUGACACCUGCCCGGUGCUGGAAGGUUAAGGGAACAUGUUAGAGCAAUCGAAGCAUCGAACCGAAGCCCCAGUAAACGGCGGCCGUAACUAUAACGGUCCUAAGGUAGCGAAAUUCCUUGUCGGGUAAGUUCCGACCCGCACGAAUGGCGUAACGACUUGUGAGCUGUCUCAACAGGGGGCCCGGUGAAAUUGAAGUAUGUGUGAAGAUGCACAUUACCCGCGACUGGACGGAAAGACCCCGUAGAGCUUUACUGUAACCUGACAUUGGAUCUUGAUAACGGAUGCACAGGAUAGGUGGGACGCUGGGAGGUAUGGACUUUGGUCUGUACGGAGCGGACGUUGGGAUACCACUCUUCUGUUAUUGAG